CCUCCCGUCUGAUAGUGAGCGGCCGGGUGAGGGGUGGAUGAAGGAUGCAGCCUUGGGACCCUCCAGCUGGACAGUGGAAGCCCAGUCAGAGCAACAGACCAGGGAGAAAACCCCAAGAUCUCCAGCCCGCAGGCUUGCUACUAAGCGGGUUUGGGAACUGACUACGGCUGGGAAGAGUCCUCUGAAUUUAGAGGCAGAAAAUCCCAGAUCCCACCCCCACUUCUGCCACUGACCUUGCUAUGGGACCUUGGCAAGGCAGAAAAGAAAACCAGGCUUAAGAGAGGAAAAAGUAAAAUGCCAUUAACACCAAACCAUUGAGAGAGAAACUCUACCAGGAAAAUACACAGCCUCGGAGCUCACUUUGAAAAGAAGAGGAAAUUUGAAGACACAGAUACCAGUGGUGCAUAUACACAGAGGAAAGACCACGUGAGGACACAGUGAGAAUGCUGCCAUCUGCAAGCCAAGGAGAGAGCUUCAGAAGAAAUCAAUCCUGCUGACAACUUCAUGUUGGACUUCUAGACUCCAGAACUGUGAAAAAAUGAAUUUCUGUUAAAUUGCCCAGUAUGUCGUGUUUUGUUAUGGGAGUCCUAGCAAACUAGCACAGAUGGAGAGAGGGUAGCAAUACAGACAUCAUACUCUUCAUCAUUAUUCUGGUUUUGAUGCUAUUAACGAUUGAGACCAAGGGUUUCCCUUUCUUGUAUGUCUUUCUGUUGAGAAGGAAACCUUUCCCAGAGAUUCUUCAAAAGAUUUUCCUUAGAAGUCCAGGGGUCAGAUGUAUUAGCCAGGAUAUAUUUCAGCAGUCAUGAAGACCCCCAAACAGUGGCUUAAAACACGACAGAAGUUGAUCCCUUCCAUCACAUAAGCAGUCCAGGUCAGGUAUGGCAGCUCCAUGUGUCUAGGACCCAGGGGCUUCCUGUCUCGCUGCUCCACCAUGCUAGGAUUUUGCUCUCAACUUCAAGCUGGCUCUCCACACAGCUGCAGUUCAGCCAGUAGGAAGGGUAAACUGAGCUAGAGGGCACAGCUCCUCCCUCUAGGGGGAUGACCUGGAAGUAGCACAAAGUUCUACUGCUCAUAACCCACUGGCUGGAACUUGUUUCCAUGGCAACAACUAAUUGCAAAGGAGGCUGGGAAAUACAAUCCUCUACUCUACAGUGGCCAUGUGCUCAGCUAAAAAGCCCUUUAUAGAGAAAAGGGGUGCAUGGAUACUGGGGACAUACAGCAGUCUCUGCCUCACUGAAUUAGUCACAUGCCCCUGCCCCCACCAAUCCUCAAUCAGGGGAAUUAUCUUGGACCAAUGGUUCUCAAACUUGGGUGCGCAUCAGAAUCACCCAGAAGGCUUAUAAAAAAAUGCUGCUCCUCAUCCCCACACUGGCUGAUUCAGCAGGUCUGGGGUGGGCUCUGAGAAUCAGCAUUGCUAACAAAUUUCCUAAUAAUGCCGGUCUGGGGACCACACUUUGAGAUUUCUGUCUUAGGCCAAUUCAAUUGUGACUUGCCUCCUGAGGCCAGGGAGAGGCUCUACACCCUGAGCACUUGGACUGGGGGCUCCUAGGAAAUGGGGGUGUACCUGAGACAAUGGUGAGAAAAGCCAACGGGUGCCACCCAAGAGAGGGUCAUAGAAACAGGAAGGUGGACAUUUGGAGAAGCUUUAAGACUGUGAAGCUAUGAGGGCCAGGUACGAUAAUGUUGGAGGUGAAGAUCAAGAGAUAUUUUGGGUCUAGUUAUGAAAAGUCAGCAUCAGGCAAGGGGUUUGAUCUUGCCUACUAAAGAAAGUCACCAGCUAUCUGGCGGUACAAGAAUUGAGUCAUUAGCCACUGCAGUCACUGACCUUUAAUACACCCUGAAACGAGGUUAGGAAUGAGGUACUCUAUGCUCUGGGAAAACUGGCAAAACAGACUUUAAGAUAGUUAGAUAUUUUCAGGCGAAAUUUUUAUGAACUUGGAUUCUUGCAUCUUCUCAUACUUAGGAAACCACUAAGACCAUUAACUAAGAUAUCUGUUCCUUAAGUCUAGCAGCAACAUUCUAUGGAGUUGUGUAUUUGGUUGCACGUAUCCUCCCUAUGCCAAAAUCACAUAUAUACUAACCCCCAACCCCACCUCUUCGGACAGUUUCUCAGAGCUAGCUAAGGGGCUGUCUCCUGGGCUAUAGCCCUCAAAAAGAUGCUGAAUAAACUUGACUCACAGCUUUUGCCUUGUGCAUUUUUUCAAAGUUGGCAAUCUUUAUCCUGAAGGCCCUGGGGAGCCACAGGAGAUUUAAAAGUCAGGAAAUGUCAUGAUCAGAUUGGAGGGAGGAGGCAUCAAAGCAGUGUCUUCAAAGAGAGGUUCUCAGAUCCCCUUGCACCAGAUCCGCUGGAGAGCCUUUAAAAUUCAUAUUCCCAGGCAUGCUCU